rnacentral:rRNA from 1 species
UACGUAGGGUGCAAGCGUUGUCCGGAAUUAUUGGGCGUAAAGAGCUCGUAGGCGGUCUGUCGCGUCGGCUGUGAAAACCCGGAGCUCAACUCCGGGCCUGCAGUCGAUACGGGCAAACUGGAGUGUUGCAGGGGAGACUGGAAUUCCUGGUGUAGCGGUGAAAUGCGCAGACAUCAGGAGGAACACCGGUGGCGAAGGCGGGUCUCUGGGCAACAACUGACGCUGAGGAGCGAAAGCGUGGGGAGCGAACAGG